CACAUCUGCUCGCCAUGGUUCUACUACGCUUGUUAUUCUCCACAGACAACUCAUUAUUUCUGUUCGCAGCGAAUUAAGGAGAUCGGAUGUAAUGAUCCGUGUAAUUGGAAAGUGGCAACAAGCAGCAAUGAAACGUGUCAACAUUGUCACGAUAUUGAAGCUUGUUACAAUGGCAGGAGAUCUUGUCCGUCGUGGAACGAAGCUAAGUGUCCAUACGGUAGAGUGACUCCAGACUACGGACUGGAUGGAAACGAGCCAAAAGUAGCGAGUCACUUGUCUC